CUGUGCACCACAUGUGCAUCUGUGCAUCACAUGUGCAUCUGUGCACCACGUGUGUAUCUGUGCACCACAUGUGCAUCUGGUGCCUUUAGAAUCUAGAAGAAGCAUUGGGUUUCCUGGAAUUGGUGUUUCAGACAGCUAUGAGCCCCCAUGCGGGAGCUGGGAAUUGAAGCCCGAGCUCUCUCAAAGAACAGUUCUUAACCACUGAGCCAUCUCUUCAACCCCCGUAGACGGAUUCUUUUAUUCUUUUGCUUUCUCUAUUUUUUCUUGCUUAUUGAUUGGCAUUGAGAAUUAUUCCCAGCCCCUUGUGCAGACUGGGUGCAUGCUCUGCCAGGUUCCUGUAUUGUAUUAUAUAGUUACUUUGCUUCUUGACCCAUACCUGCUAAAGAGCAACUUAAAGGAGGGAGGCUUCGUCCUGGCUCACAGUUUGAGGGCAUGGUCCAUCAUGACAGGGAAGACUUGGCAUCAGGACCAUGACACAGCUGGUUACAUUGUGUCCACACUCAGAAGGCAGAGAAGGGCACUGUUACUCAGCAUUCAUCUGAGACCCAAGGCAGCUGUCAAGCAAGAGGCUUAAUGGAGCAGGUGCGGGUCGCAGACAGGGACGGUGCAGGGAGCAAAUGGAUUGCUAUUGCUGGGCGGUGACUGUCAGGACUCAGUCCCUCUAUAUUUUUAGAAAGUGAGGGCAUUAAAGGUUGGCAUUUGCCUCCUUACCCCGGGGUACUGCCCUGGGCUGCUGGGACCCAAGUCUGGUGCUGCCUGCAUUUGAGGUAAGUCUUUUCAGCUCAGUUAGACCUUUCUGGAAACACAGGUCACAGAUACGCUAGUGCAGUUUCCAUGACAAUUCUAAAUCCAGUCUAGCUGACAGUUAAGAUUAACUCUCUUACACGCUUUUUCCUCAUUGAAUGAGUUAUUUAUUUACCUAAGUGUGGGUGGAGACAUUAAAGGACAACUUCCAGAGGUGAUUUUCUCCUUUCAACCACUUGGGUCCCAAAGAUCCCACUCAGGUAGUUAGACCUGCCAGAGGCUCCUUUACUUACUGAGUCAUCUUGCCAACCCAAUGUUUUGAUUUUAAGUGCUUAAAAAAAAAAGCCAGAUAUGGGGCUGUUGAUAUAGCUCGUGGGUAAACAACCUACCUAACAUGUUUGAGACCAGGAGCAUAGCACCCACUGCGAAUACCAGCCCUUAGGAGGCAAAGAAAGGAAGAGUGGGGUCUGAGAACAGCCUGGGGUACCACUCAAAACCUUGUCUCCAAAGAGAGAAAAAAAUGAUGACAGCAGGGCACUGAGCCAAGUGUGGGGUCUGUCUCAGGGCUACCUUCCUGGGCAGAGAAGCCAGCAGCCCUCUUGUAAGUACAGGAGAGAAGGAUUAGGGGGUGUCUAGAGAAGAAGACCGCAGGUCCUGGGGAAGCCAGUGUCCACUGCGCUGUUCAUGUCCUGGUCCAAAGUUGUUCUCUAAACAUUGAGAUCUCCCAACCUAGUCUGGUUUGAUCCUUCCCUUUGGGGUGAGUGGAGAUUCCCUCUUCUCAGUCUGUGGUGCCAGGAAGGCUGAUUGGUCUCUCUCAGCUCAUUUCUCAAGAGCCAGGAUUUAGGAGCAGUAAAAAGCACAGAUUUAGCCACCUUGAGAGUUGGAAGUGUGCGGGAAAUCUCUCCUUGCUGGAAAGGGCUAACCUCACUUCAAGGCGUUUGAUUUCAAACCGUGGGCACUUUCCCUGCAGGGGGGUAUUGCGUGCAGCCUGUGUCCAGACUUCUUGUUCUACAAGCAGAAAAACAACCCAAGACUGAGGGAACCUUCUACCAUCACCCAGAACGUAUACUGAAACCAGAGCACAGGUUUCCACAGCACCAACCAAAUAUCCUCCCCAGGUUAGGGCUGCAAGACUCGGGUUGAGGCAGCCCUCUUGAGCAUCUUCCAUCUUGGUGACUGUUCUCAGUAAGGAGUCACUGUUGCCCUCAUAGGACACAGUGCUUUGGGCUCUAGAGGUGUGGAGAGGCAUUCAGAUCUGCAUGGAAGGGACCUACCCACCCCAGCUCUAAGUUCGUAUUGAUUGCAGAUAGUAGAACUGCCCAGAAUGGAGGUACCAUAGCAACAGAAAAACAUUACCAAAGGGAAACUGUCGUUAUAAUCUCCUGGAGACUCUGCCAGGGUACAGUGGUAGUGGAAUAAGUCCUGGCCUGGCUUCAUGACAAAACCAGAGUGGGUCAAGGGUCAGACAUAUGAAUCCCUUUUUUGUGGGGGGAGUGAAGGGUCUUGGGACAGUGGCUGCCUGCAGAACCCUGGGAAUGCUGACAUGCUGAAGCCACCACAAAGCCUCAGAGACGGAACCAUUCCAGUUAAAUUAGCAACUGCAAUCACCCAGAAGGUGUCAAAUACGUGGUGGACUCUUCAGGAAACGGUGUGUGCACAGGAGCAAACUUAGACUCACAGUUACCUGGGAACCAGAGGCAGGCUGCAUUCAAGGAUAAGCGAAGCCCCGCCCCAUAGAAUGAAGUCAUGCUCAGGGAUAUCUGGCCAGUAAUCUCUGGAACCAAAAGGAGAAGUCCCUGGACUUUCUAGCUCUGCUGUUUCGAGAGCUGGCCUCUCACAGUUGCUUUCCAUCUCCCUAAACUUCCUCUUCCUCUUCCUCUCUGGGAGCACCCCAGCCAGCUCUCCAACCUUGGGCCUCUGCAGCUAAGGACUCGAGCGUGUCACAGGCAUGGAAUCCAUAUUUGUAGGCUAGACAGCUGACUCGUUCCCACUGUUUGGGAUGCUCUCUUUGCCCUUUGAACUACCACCAAGUGGGUGCUUCCAUCCUGGAAGCAGGCCUUUUCCACCACGAAGGUUUUGAAGGAGAAUCCUACAGAAUGGUCCUAAACCAAAGGACAGCACUAUCUGGAGAAGAAUGACUGGCUUCCGGGUCCAGAUCUCCGGGGAGACAGUGCUUGAUGAGCCACACUGAUAUGAUCUUCACGGUUCUGUCUGUCUGUUUUGAAAUGGAAUCUCGCUGUGUCUCAAGCGCUUGCCUCAAACUCCUGUGCUAGAGAGAUCCCCCUGCCCCUGUCUCCCAGUUUCUGCCUCCGUCCCCACGAUCUGCUCGGAGAAGACACUUGGGCCAGAGUGAGUCUCUGCGUUAACUGAUGCCCAGUAGAGACACGGACCACGCAAACCAAGCAAACCUUCCCUGCUUAAGUUAUUGCCCACACCCGUUUUUGAAAGAAUCAUUUAAUACAUACGUUGCAGAGGAGCAACAGACUGGACAGCAAUUGUACCGCCUGCUCCUUAAGUUAUUCCUGCUAGGUCCUUCCGUCGCUGUGAAGAGAAGCCUGACACAGUCAUCUGUAUCUGAUCUUAGCCGAAGGCUGAGAAGCGAUUGAAAAGCUUCCAUCACAAAUAAUUAAAGAAGAAAAACUCUGAAUAAAGUGACAUAC